rnacentral:rRNA from 1 species
UACGUAGGGGGCAAGCGUUGUCCGGAAUCAUUGGGCGUAAAGCGUCCGCAGGCGGCUUUUUAAGUCUGUUGUCAAAGCCCACAGCUCAACUGUGGAUCGGCAAUGGAAACUGGGAAGCUAGAGUGUGGUAGGGGUAGAGGGAAUUCCCGGUGUAGCGGUGAAAUGCGUAGAUAUCGGGAAGAACACCAGUGGCGAAGGCGCUCUACUGGGCCACAACUGACGCUGAGGGACGAAAGCUAGGGGAGCGAAAGGG